CUCUCUGCCACAUGGGAGGAGACAGUCUGUAGAUCCUGCAGCUAAAUCAAUUCUAUGCUAUGUAGGAAGGCGAACCUGAGGCAAAUG
rnacentral:lncRNA from 12 species